rnacentral:tRNA from 1 species
GUUUCUGUAGUGUAGUGGUUAUCACGUUAGCCUCACACGCGAAAGGUCCCUGGUUCGAAACCAGGCAGAAACA